rnacentral:rRNA from 1 species
CUGCAACUCGCCUACACGAAGCUGGAAUCGCUAGUAAUCGCGGAUCAGCACGCCGCGGUGAAUACGUUCCCGGGCCUUGUACACACCGCCCGUCACACCAUGAGAGUCUGUAACACCCAAAGCCGGUGGGAUAACCUUUAUAGGAGUCAGCCGUCUAAGGUAGGACAGAUGAUUAGGGUGAAGUCGUAACAAGGUAAC